GGGACAGGCAAUAUACGUCCUAUGUCAGCCGUCAGACAAGGGUCAACGCCUAUGCCUUGACUACACUCUGGUUGAUGGGCAGCUAUCACAUCUACCGGGAAUAAAAGACAUGAUUGAGACAAUGGAUACCCAGCGUGCCUUGCAGGCAGUGGAGCGGCUCCAGGCCAAGCUGAAGGAGCGGGGGGAGGUCCCCACCGAGGAGAAGCUAAGCCUGCUCAAGUCGGUGCUCCAGAGCCCCCUGUUCCACCAGAUUCUGGCCCUGCAGAAGUCUGUCCAGCU